AGGUUGCGUAUAGCUCGUAUGGGUUCGGUUGCAUCAAGAUCGAGGAUUGCGCCACGAUAGGAGCGUAUUUUACUAAGCUGCAAUUGGUAACGUAAUCGGACACCGAGCGGAUCAGGACACCGAGCGGAUCAAAUCUCUCCGGAAAACACGCUAUACAAAUCUCAACAAUGAAUUUCUAGCCCCCUAUACAAAAUAUAUACUACAUUAAUAAACAUGAAAAGCACUACCUCCGGGGAUCGGUAGAGACUGGGUUGAAAUCAGUAGGAAUACACCUAUUUGGUAUUAUGGAGCAGUUGGAUAUUCCGAUGUCGGCCGGUUCGGCGCGUGGCUACGUCGGUGUGAAAAGUUUGGACUCGAAGUGAUAUCUCUUUGAAUAUCCAACUGAAACUGUUCACUUUGAUCGAAGUUGCUGAAACGGCUACAUGUAUAAAUAUCGGUUGAAAGAUGAAUGACGGAUAGAGAAGUUAAACCUCAUGUUUUACACAUAUGAUGGGAAUCAGCUGGACUCGCACAGUGAGCCUACUACGUAAUCAAUAUGUAACAUAUUGUUGAUGAGGCGCUCACAAUGCGGAUGGAUCUUCAUCCAACGUUGAUAUUCACAAACUCGGU
rnacentral:lncRNA from 1 species